rnacentral:rRNA from 1 species
GACGAACGCUGGCGGCGUGCUUAACACAUGCAAGUCGAACGGAAAGGCCCUGUUGUUGUGGGGUGCUCGAGUGGCGAACGGGUGAGUAACACGUGAGUUACCCGCCCUUGUCUUUGGGAUAACUUCAGCUAACUCGGGCUACUACCGGAUAGGAGCUCCUGCUGCAUGGUGGGGGUUGGAAAGUUUCGGCGGUUGGGGAUGGACUCGCGGCUUAUCAGCUUGUUGGUGGGGUAGUGGCUUACCAAGGCUUGGACGGGUAGCCGGCCUGAGAGGGUGACCGGCCACACUGGGAGUGAGAGACGGACCAGACUGCUACGUGAGGGAGGAGGCGGGAAGAAUGCUUACUGGACGGGAGGCUGAUGCAGGCAGCGCGGGUGCGUGAGGACUGCCUUCGGGUUGGUUGUCGCUUUCGCCCGUGACGGAGCGAUUGUGACGGUAAUGGUUGAAGAAGCACCGGCUAACUACGUG